AAGCCUUGAGUUCUUUCUGCUAAGUGAAAUAAUCAGACUCAAAAAGACAACUACUACAUGAUUCCACUUAACAGAGAGAUUAUUCCAGGAAAAGAAGUGGCCCUCAGUGUCAAAGGAUGCAAAACUAACCUCUGAGUUCCUGGCAGGUUUAGCAAUAAAGGAGGAUGUUGCUGAUCUCAGUACAAGCAAUGUUAGAGAAAGGGGAAGAUGGAAGUGGACAAGGACGAGUGAGUGGAAGGUGACAAAUGGAAGCAAAGAAACGUAUCCAGACCAUUGAAGAUGCUUGAGCGAGAAGAAAGAGGCGGUGGAGGGAAUGGAAGCCCGAGGAAGUCAUAUGUUGCAAUAAGGGGCCUCAGAGCACGUGUAGAGUGUGGAGCAGAGCCCUUGCAGAGGGGCUGUGGAAGGCUGGCAGGGUGCAGGUGGCCCCACUCUCCGUCACCCUGAGGAGUGUGUGGUCAGAGUUAAAGCUCAGUCUGUUUCUGGGAUCAGGUAAGAGGUGAGCGUCCGGAGAAGACAGGCGGAUCUUCAGAUCCUGCAGACCUCCACCGUGCCCUCUGUCCCUCUCGACUGCUUUUUCUCCAUCUCCAUUGUCUGGCUCACAUUGGUGUCACUUUUUCAUUUCUCCCUGCCCGUCUUUUCUCUUUUCUCCUCUCUUUUUCUUAACCCUUGUACCUUUGGAAGUCCCACUAACAGAAUUUAAACAGCUUUUCAAGUUGGUUUUUUGUUCCCAGAAAUUGAUUUUAGACUCUCCAUGAAUAAUGUGGAAAUCAAAUGAGUAUAAGCUGGUUCAUCUCUCUGCAAAUAAACAAAUAAAAUCUACAUUCCAAUGUUUCUUCUU
ensembl:lncRNA PSG8-AS1 PSG8 antisense RNA 1